rnacentral:rRNA from 1 species
GGUUUUUGUCUUUGCUUCCGGGGUUUACGGGGUUGCCGCAGGCGCGAAACCUUUACACUGCACGACAGUGCGAUAGGGGGAUCCCAAGUGCACAGGCAUAGCGCCUGUGCUUUUCGACACCCUAAGGCGGUGUCGGAAUAAGGGCUGGGCAAGACCGGUGCCAGCCGCCGCGGUAAUACCGGCAGCCCGAGUGAUGGCCGAUCUUAUUGGGCCUAAAGCGUCCGUAGCUGGCCACGCAAGUCCAUCGGGAAAUCCACCUGCCCAACAGGUGGGCGCCCGGUAGAAACUGCGUGGCUUGGGACCGGAAGGCGCGACGGGUACGUCCGGGGUAGGAGUGAAAUCCUGUAAUCCUGGACGGACCGCCGAUGGCGAAAGCACGUCGCGAGAACGGAUCCGACAGUGAGGGACGAAAGCCAGGGUCUCGAACCGGAUUAGAUACCCGGGUAGUCCUGGCCGUAAACAAUGUCUGCUAGGUGUGGCUCCCACUACGAGUGGGUGCUGUGCCGUACGGAAGCCGCUAAGCAGACCGCCUGGGAAGUACGUCCGCAGGAUGAAACUUUAGGAGUUGACGGGGGAACCCAUAACGGGGGGGCCGGGGGGCGCCC